rnacentral:rRNA from 1 species
UGGGGAAUUUUGGACAAUGGGCGCAAGCCUGAUCCAGCCAUGCCGCGUGCGGGAAGAAGGCCUUCGGGUUGUAAACCGCUUUGUCAGGGAAGAAAUCUUCUGAGUUAAUACCUCGGGAGGAUGACGGUACCUGAAGAAUAAGCACCGGCUAACUACGUGCCAGCAGCCGCGGUAAUACGUAGGGUGCAAGCGUUAAUCGGAAUUACUGGGCGUAAAGCGUGCGCAGGCGGUUUUGUAAGACAGAGGUGAAAUCCCCGGGCUCAACCUGGGAACUGCCUUUGUGACUGCAAGGCUUGAGUGCGGCAGAGGGGGAUGGAAUUCCGCGUGUAGCAGUGAAAUGCGUAGAUAUGCGGAGGAACACCGAUGGCGAAGGCAAUCCCCUGGGCCUGCACUGACGCUCAUGCACGAAAGCGUGGGGAGCAAAACAGGAUUAGAUACCCCUGGUAGUCCACGCCCUAAACGAUGUCAACUGGUUGUUGGGAAGGUUCCUUCUCAGUAACGUAGCUAACGCGUGAAGUUGACCGCCUGGGGAGUACGGCCGCAAGGUUGAAACUUAAAUGAAUUGAC